GAUGAAGAACGCAGCGAAAUGCAAUAAGUAAUGUGAAUUGCAGAAUUCAGUGAAUCAUCGAAUCUUUGAACGCACAUUGCGCCCGCCAGUAUUCUGGCGGGCAUGCCUGUUCGAGCGUCAUUUCAACCAUCAAGCCCCCGGCUUGUGUUGGGGACCUGCGGCUGCCGCAGGCCCUGAAAACCAGUGGCGGGCUCGCUAGUCACUCCGAGCGUAGUAAUACAUCUCGCUCAGGGCGUGCUGCGGGUUCCGGCCGUUAAAAAGCCUUAUUUACCCAAGGUUGACCUCGGAUCAGGUAGGAAGACCCGCUGAACUUAAGCAUAUCAAUAAGCGGAGGA
rnacentral:misc_RNA from 1 species